rnacentral:rRNA from 1 species
AUUGAACGCUGGCGGCAGGCCUAACACAUGCAAGUCGAGCGGAUGAAGGGAGCUUGCUCCUGGAUUCAGCGGCGGACGGGUGAGUAAUGCCUAGGAAUCUGCCUGGUAGUGGGGGAUAACGUCCGGAAACGGGCGCUAAUACCGCAUACGUCCUGAGGGAGAAAGUGGGGGAUCUUCGGACCUCACGCUAUCAGAUGAGCCUAGGUCGGAUUAGCUAGUUGGUGGGGUAAAGGCCUACCAAGGCGACGAUCCGUAACUGGUCUGAGAGGAUGAUCAGUCACACUGGAACUGAGACACGGUCCAGACUCCUACGGGAGGCAGCAGUGGGGAAUAUUGGACAAAGGGCGAAAGCCUGAUCCAGCCAUGCCGCGUGUGUGAAGAAGGUCUUCGGAUUGUAAAGCACUUUAAGUUGGGAGGAAGAGCAGUAAGUUAAUACCUUGCUGUUUCGACGUUACCAACAGAAUAAGCACCGGCUAACUUCGUG